CUUGUGCUGUUGCUGCCUACUGCAAGACUGCUUCGGUGGUCCUCCCCAGCCGGCUGGGCCACCUGGGCCACCUGGGCCUCCUCCCCCACCCCCUUCUGCACCUCCUCCGCUAGCACCUGGGCCUCCUCUUCCGCCUGGUCCGCCUCUGGGACCUUUUUUCGGUCCACCAGACCCACCAGGUUCUCCUGGACCACCUGGUUUCCCACCAGGACCUCCUGGCCCACCUGGUGGCCCACCAGGACCUCCUGGCCCACCUGGUGGCCCACCAGGACCUCCUGGCCCACCUGGAUGGUGACAGGGGCCCUCAACUUCUAACCCAUAUUUCACCUUAUUUGCUAGAGAUGUGUGUAUUGAGAGUUGAACCAGUUUUCUUGGGUUUCUCUCUUUCUAUUAAUGUCCUCUAAUUUUAUAUAUCAUUUUAUGAAUCAUGUA
rnacentral:lncRNA from 1 species